GCGCCCGUAGCUCAACUGGAUAGAGCGUCGGACUUCGAAUCCGCAGGUCGGGGGUUCGACUCCCUCCGGGCGCGCCA
rnacentral:tRNA from 1 species